GGAGGUAGUGACAAUAAAUCACAAUGCGGGACUCCUAGUCUUGCAAUUGGAUUGAGAACAACGUACAACUCUUAUCGAUAAGCCAUUGGAGGGCAAGUCUGGUGCCAGCAGCCGCGGUAAUUCCAGCUCCAAUAGCGUAUAUUAACGUUGUUGCAGUUAAAAAGCUCGUAGUUGAAGUGAGGGAGUGUGUGGGUAUGAGAGCUAGUCUCAAGUACUCACAACCUCCCCCCUCCAAUCGGUGUAGUGGGGUAUUCAGUUAUUCUACUACUCCUUUGGUCGUUUACUGUGAGAAAAUUAGAGUGUUCAAAGCGGGCGUUUGUUUGAAUAGAUUAGCAUGGAAUAAUGAUUGAAGGCUUUCGUGUUCGAUUUGAUUGGUUUGUUCAUGGAAGCAAGGUUAAAAGGAACAGUUGGGGGUAUUCAUAUUCACUAGUUAGAGGUGAAAUUCUCGGAUUUAUGGAAGAUGAACAAGUGCGAAAGCA
rnacentral:rRNA from 1 species